UACGAGGGGAGCAAGCGUUGUUCGGAUUUACUGGGCGUAAAGGGCGCGUAGGCGGCCAGCGCAAGUCAGUUGUGAAAUCUCCGGGCUUAACUCGGAAAGGUCAACUGAUACUGCGCGGCUAGAGUGCAGAAGGGGCAACUGGAAUUCUCGGUGUAGCGGUGAAAUGCGUAGAUAUCGAGAGGAACACCUGCGGCGAAGGCGAGGUGCUGGACCCUUUCUGACGCUGAGGCGCGAAAGCCAGGGGAGCAAACGGG
rnacentral:rRNA from 1 species